rnacentral:rRNA from 1 species
AUUGAACGCUGGCGGCAUGCCUUACACAUGCAAGUCGAACGGUAACGCGGGGCAACCUGGCGACGAGUGGCGAACGGGUGAGUAAAGUAUCGGAACGUGCCCAAUAGUGGGGGAUAGCCCGGCGAAAGCCGGAUUAAUACCGCAUGAGACCUGAGGGUGAAAGCGGGGGACUCGCAAGAGCCUCGCGCUACUGGAGCGGCCGAUAUCAGAUUAGGUAGUUGGUGGGGUAAAGGCCUACCAAGCCGACGAUCUGUAGCUGGUCUGAGAGGACGACCAGCCACACUGGGACUGAGACACGGCCCAGACUCCUACGGGAGGCAGCAGUGGGGAAUUUUGGACAAUGGGCGCAAGCCUGAUCCAGCCAUGCCGCGUGCGGGAAGAAGGCCUUCGGGUUGUAAACCGCUUUUGUCAGGGAAGAAAUCCUUUGAACUAAUACUUCGGAGGGAUGACGGUACCUGAAGAAUAAGCACCGGCUAACUACGUG